CCCAACUCACUUUGUCAUUAGAUAUCAGUAAAUCCUGAAACUUCAACAAAAAUGAAAGUAUUUGCAAUAAUAUUUCUUGUGGCUUCGGUAAUUGCUGCCGUCUACUGCGAACCAGGCGAUAACGCAAUAAAUGGAGGCGGUAAUCGUGGUAAUAAGCAGACGAAUUUUGACGUAAAGACAAGUAUAUUGUAAUAAGUGUUAGAUGUUGAUUACAACUCUAAAAGACAUCUCUCAUAUACCCAAUAAAAACUGAAUAAAUAUAAAACAAA